rnacentral:lncRNA from 1 species
UCUAUAGCAUUCUGAACUUUGUAGUCAUACAAAUUAUUUUGUCGACGCAAGUGCUUAUUGUUAUUAAUGCAGUCGUAGUUUAGGUAAUAGGUAUGAACUCCUUGGGGCGGAUGACGCUUGAGUUGUCCUGGAUAUGGUCUGGUGUAUUAUCUGGUCUGAAUUGACAAGUGAGGUAUAGAAGAGACGUCAUAAACAGAUUUAACAUACUUCCUUAAAAUAGGCGUGAUAAUGUUAUGUAGACAUAUACCAAUGACCAGCCAUAUUUUUCGAUGUUUAUCCAAAUC